UACGGAGGGUGCAAGCGUUAUCCGGAUUUACUGGGUUUAAAGGGUGCGUAGGCGGGCCUGUAAGUCAGUGGUGAAAUCUUCCCGCUUAACGGGAAAACUGCCAUUGAUACUAUAGGUCUUGAAUUCAGUUGAGGUGGGCGGAAUGUGUGGUGUAGCGGUGAAAUGCUUAGAUAUGACACAGAACACCGAUUGCGAAGGCAGCUCGCUAAACUGACAUUGACGCUGAGGCACGAAAGCGUGGGGAUCAAACAGG
rnacentral:rRNA from 1 species